CAAGAAAUCACUAUCUCCGAA
rnacentral:miRNA from 14 species